ensembl:ncRNA C17G1.10 ncRNA
AGAAGUUCGAGUAAAGUGUGAAACAAUGAGGUGGAACGCUCAGUAGAUACAGGUCAUGCAGACCAAUGAUGACCGCGGAACGAGGAUAAGACUAACUUUAGAACGUUGAAUUACGCUUGUUCAAAACAUACAGCAGGCGAAAU